UCCUUGAGUUGGCUUGGCUUGCAUUUUUCAGAACUGAUCUUUCUGCCGACCUAACAAAGCUGGUUCGGAUGUUGCUUCGAGCUAGCUCGAUCGUCAGAACCCAAAAAUAGCCUUUCUGUCACCCAGAGAGAGCCGGCUCAGAUCUGCCUUGAGCUGGCUUGACUGCAUGCCAAGCCAAAUUGUUGAAGGCGUACCAUGCCAGAGCUAGCUCGAUUUCUGAUGGAGUCAGCUUGAUUCCCUUAAACUGAUUUUUCUUAUUCUGAUUUUCUUCCAAACACUUUCUUUUGACUCAAAUGAUCGUUAAUUUAAUUCGGAGUCUUUCAAUUGCAUCUUU
rnacentral:lncRNA from 1 species